GCACGCUUUGCGGCAGGGCAGCGGCAGCUGCUCCGCUGGUUUCUCCCAGGGAAGAAACCCCCAGCCCCGGGACGGGUUUCUCCGUGCCGGCCCCGGCUGUGCGGCUCUUCGGCCACAGGGGUGUGACUGAAAAGGAAGCUGGGAAGGCAGAGGCAGGUUGUACUUCCUGUGCUGAGAAGCAUCAACAGACUCAUACCCAAUAGACAGAGUGUAGAGGCUGGGAAAAUAGCUCAUUGUGAGUUUAUCUAAAAUGACCGGAAUUGUCUCUUCAGGCAGAGGGCCCAGAAGGUGUUUUGGAAAAGGGAGAAAGAAGGACCUAAAAUCUGAGAAUGUGUGGAUACAUUUGGCUAGAAAGAUGAAUAUGAGAAGAGUCUCUGAGAAAUAGGCAUGGCAGUAUGUCAGGGAAAAAGAAGAGGCAGAAGAGUCAAGAUUCGGUGUUUUAUAACCAGUUCCUCAGUGCAAGUGUGCUGCAUGACUUCAAGCAGAGUAUGAGUUACCACACCUACUUAACUGUUAAGAAUGGGAUUGCUCUUGUUCCUGUUGAUGUAUGCUCAUGAUCUGGACUCCAGGACUCAAGCAGGACUGAGAGACACAUCUUGUCAGGCAACGGGAUGCGGAUUUGCCUCUCACUGAGGUGCUGCUGGCUAGCUCACUGCCUGGUAGAGGGUGUCUCUAAGACUUGAUCUGACCUGAAGCAUACACUUUCUCAGGAGAUCUGCAACAGGGCUGAAGAAUUGCAAAUGUAUCCUUUUCCUCCUGUCAUCUGCUUGCACAUGACUGCAGUGCCUGCUCUGAGCUCACUCACCCUGAAAUGCUCCUUGUGAUGGAGGUUUGUACUGAGCUGGUACAGAGCGGACUUUGCUUUUGGUGGCAGUAUCCCUUGUUGCCGUGACAUUCACAAAGAAGAUGGGUUUAUCCUUGCCUUUAUUCCACUGGGACCAGGUGCUCUACACACAGGAGCCCAAAGUGGCAAAUCUACUACCUCUUUCAAUUUUCAGUUGAGGUCUACAUCACAUGAACGUCUUGGUUUUUUUGGAGAGGUAAAGCUUUUUUAAAAAAAACAAACCACAGCGUGUUGAACCCAAGUUGGAGAAAGAACUGCAUCAUGUGGUUGAUACAGUGCAUGGGAGUACAGAGCAUUCCCAUUCCAUCUGGUCUUGCACAUCCACUCCCUGUACCUAUUAAAUGUGAUAGCUGUUAGGCAUGAAUGUAGACCCGGAGAUGGGCAGAACUAGUUUGCCAUGCAAAUGUUUAUCUGAUGGCCCCAUCCUAUUUUCUAGAACCAAAGAUUUCACUGUGAUAAAGUGGACAUCGUAAAGCAUUGUAGGAGAUAGGGGGAUGUAACUGCACUUAAUCCGAGUUUGGAAUAGGCAUAUCUUAUAUCUUGGAGUUUGACAGUAAAUAACAAAGUAUAUUAUCAAUGGAAAUAUGACCUUAAUCUGUAACUACAAAAAAGAAAAGGACAGUCUUGAAAGUCCAGCAAUCUUUCAAAUCAUCUUAAGGCAUUUGAUCCUGAAUCAUCACAGUGAAAUUCAACAGGGGUGUUCCUAUUAGUGAUCGAAGUAUAUAGAUGUGGUUGAAUACAUGGAAAACUGUAUCUUGUUCCAGUUAUCCUUAUUAUUGUAAU